rnacentral:lncRNA from 10 species
CCCGACAAUGAAGAGGGCCUGAAAAUCAGGAAAUGAGGAAACUGAGGCUCAGACAGGCCAGGAGUCUCGCACAAAAUAGCAAGUUUACAUCAGCGCCCAGACUUGAAUCUAAGCCCAUCCACCGCUAAAAAGUGUCCAUCAUUCCAAUAUUCCUCAAUAGGCAGUGUGCCCUGGCAGCCCUCCGUGACGUCCGGCGGUUCCUUAGUGAGGAGGGGGGACAUGUGGCGGUUUUUGAUGCCACAAACACCACCCGAGAACGGAGAGCGACCAUCUUUAAUUUUGGAGAACAGAAUGGCUACAAGACCUUUUUUGUCGAGUCCAUCUGUGUGGAUCCUGAGGUCAUAGCUGCCAACAUCGUGCAAGUGAAACUGGGCAGCCCUGACUAUGUCAACCGCGACAGUGAUGAGGCUACGGAGGACUUCAUGAGGCGCAUUGAGUGCUAUGAGAACUCCUACGAGUCGCUAGAUGAGGACCUGGAUAGACAGUGUAUUGAGAGUGCGGAGAUAGGCCAACAGGGGCCCCAGGGACACAUGAGCAGCGGAGAAAGUCAUGAUGUGGGACCUGUCCUAUAUCAAG